rnacentral:rRNA from 1 species
ACGGCGGCCGUAACUAUAACGGUCCUAAGGUAGCGAAAUUCCUUGUCGGGUAAGUUCCGACCUGCACGAAUGGCGUAACGAUCCGGGCGCUGUCUCAACGUGGUUCUCAGUGAAAUUGAAAUAGCGGUGAAGAUACCGUUAACCCGCAGCAAGACGGAAAGACCCCGUGAACCUUUACUGCAGCUUGGCAGUGGAUUCGGGAAGAGCUUGUGUAGGAUAGGUGGGAGGCUUAGAAGUCGGUGCGCCAGCGCCGGUGGAGCCGUCCUUGAAAUACCACCCUGGUUUUUUCGGAAUUCUAACCUCGUCCCGUGAUCCGGGACAGGGACCCUGCCUGGUGGGCGGUUUGACUGGGGCGGUCGCCUCCCAAAGCGUAACGGAGGCGCGCAAUGGUUCCCUCAGAGUGAUUGGAAACCACUCGUAGAGUGCAAAGGCAUAAGGGAGCCUGACUGCGAGAGAGACAUCUCAAGCAGGGACGAAAGUCGGUCUUAGUGAUCCGGUGGUUCCUUGAGGAAGGGCCAUCGCUCAACGGAUAAAAGGUACUCCUGGGGCUGAAGCAGGUCCCAAGGGUAUGGCUGUUCGCCAUUUAAAGCGGUACGCGAGCUGGGUUCAGAACGUCGUGAGACAGUUCGGUCCCUAUCUGCUGUGGGCGCAGGAGAUCUGAAGGAAUCUGCUCUUAGUACGAGAGGACCGGAGUGGACGAACCUCUGGUGAUCCGGUUGUUCCGCCAGGAGCACCGCCGGGUAGCUAUGUUCGGCAGGGAUAACCGCUGAAAGCAUCUAAGCGGGAAGCCCCUCCUGAGAGCGAUCUCCCGGACUUAAUGUCCCUGAAGGUCACAGGUAGACCACCUGUUUGAUAGGCCGGGGGUGGAAGCAUGGCAACAUGUGAAGCCGACCGGUACUAAGCGACCGUGUGGCUUGACUUGAU